rnacentral:rRNA from 1 species
CAGUAGCCGCGGUAAAACAGAGGGUGCAAGCGUUAAUCGGAAUUACUGGGCGUAAAGCGCGCGUAGGUGGUUUGUUAAGUUGGUUGUGAAAGCCCCGGGCUCAACCUGGGAACUGCAUCCAAAACUGGCAAGCUAGAGUACGGUAGAGGGUGGUGGAAUUUCCUGUGUAGCGGUGAAAUGCGUAGAUAUAGGAAGGAACACCAGUGGCGAAGGCGACCACCUGGACUGAUACUGACACUGAGGUGCGAAAGCGUGGGGAGCAAACAGGAUUAGAUACCCGGGUAGUCCCUGUCUCUUAUAU